rnacentral:rRNA from 1 species
CAGUCUCAGUUCGGAUUGAAGGCUGAAAUUCGCCUUCAUGAAGCCGGAAUUGCUAGUAAUGGCAGGUCAGCAUACUGCCGUGAAUACGUUCCCGGGUCUUGUACACACCGCCCGUCACACCAUGGGAGUUGGAAAUGCCCGAAGUCAGUGGCCCAACCGCAAGGAGGGAGCUGCCGAAGGCAGGUCCGGUAACCGGGGUGAAGUCGUAACAAGGUAGC